GGAAGGUUGGCAGAGUGGUCGAAUGCGCCGCACUUGAAAUGCGGUAUGCCGAAAGGCAUCGGAGGUUCGAAUCCUCCACCUUCCGCCA
rnacentral:tRNA from 1 species